AGAGUUUGAUCAUGGCUCAGAGCGAACGCUGGCGGCAGGCUUAACACAUGCAAGUCGAGCGGGCGUAGCAAUACGUCAGCGGCAGACGGGUGAGUAACGCGUGGGAACGUACCUUUUGGUUCGGAACAACACAGGGAAACUUGUGCUAAUACCGGAUAAGCCCUUACGGGGAAAGAUUUAUCGCCGAAAGAUCGGCCCGCGUCUGAUUAGCUAGUUGGUAGGGUAAUGGCCUACCAAGGCGACGAUCAGUAGCUGGUCUGAGAGGAUGAUCAGCCACAUUGGGACUGAGACACGGCCCAAACUCCUACGGGAGGCAGCAGUGGGGAAUAUUGGACAAUGGGGGCAACCCUGAUCCAGCCAUGCCGCGUGAGUGAUGAAGGCCCUAGGGUUGUAAAGCUCUUUUGUGCGGGAAGAUAAUGACGGUACCGCAAGAAUAAGCCCCGGCUAACUUCGUGCCAGCAGCCGCGGUAAUACGAAGGGGGCUAGCGUUGCUCGGAAUCACUGGGCGUAAAGGGUGCGUAGG
rnacentral:rRNA from 1 species